UACCUAUCAACGGCCAGCAGCACUACUGAAUGAAAUAAAAAUCGGCAAGGAAACAAAUAUCGAUGAAGCUGUGAAUCUGUCAAGUACCUCUACAUAAAAAUACUAUAAUGUAUAAGAAAGUAAAACCAGUAUUUUUAUAUUCUUUCAUAUUUUAUAUCUUAACACUUCGCAUUAAUAUACUUUAUUGAAUGAAGCCUAAGCAAUGAAAAAAUAUGUAGUAUGGAACCUAUCCGCAUGCAUAUAAAUAAAAGACUUAAGUUUUA